rnacentral:rRNA from 1 species
AUUGAACGCUGGCGGCAUGCUUUACACAUGCAAGUCGAACGGCAGCACGGGCUUCGGCCUGGUGGCGAGUGGCGAACGGGUGAGUAAUAUAUCGGAACGUACCCAGAAGUGGGGGAUAACGUAGCGAAAGUUACGCUAAUACCGCAUACGAUCUAUGGAUGAAAGCAGGGGACCGCAAGGCCUUGUGCUCCUGGAGCGGCCGAUAUCUGAUUAGCUAGUUGGUGAGGUAAAGGCUCACCAAGGCGACGAUCAGUAGCUGGUCUGAGAGGACGACCAGCCACACUGGAACUGAGACACGGUCCAGACUCCUACGGGAGGCAGCAGUGGGGAAUUUUGGACAAUGGGCGCAAGCCUGAUCCAGCAAUGCCGCGUGAGUGAAGAAGGCCUUCGGGUUGUAAAGCUCUUUUGUCAGGGAAGAAACGGUAGAGGCUAAUAUCCUUUGCUAACGACGGUACCUGAAGAAUAAGCACCGGCUAACUACGUG